rnacentral:rRNA from 1 species
GUGGGGAAUAUUGGACAAUGGGCGCAAGCCUGAUCCAGCCAUGCCGCGUGAGUGAUGAAGGCCUUAGGGUUGUAAAGCUCUUUCAGUGGGGACGAUAAUGACGGUACCCACAGAAGAAGCCCCGGCUAACUUCGUGCCAGCAGCCGCGGUAAUACGAAGGGGGCUAGCGUUGUUCGGAAUUACUGGGCGUAAAGCGCACGUAGGCUGAUCUUUAAGUCAGGGGUGAAAUCCCGGGGCUCAACCCCGGAACUGCCUUUGAUACUGGGUAUCUUGAGUAUGGAAGAGGUCAGUGGAAUUGCGAGUGUAGAGGUGAAAUUCGUAGAUAUUCGCAGGAACACCAGUGGCGAAGGCGGCUGACUGGUCCAUUACUGACGCUGAGGUGCGAAAGCGUGGGGAGCAAACAGGAUUAGAAACCCGAGUAGUCC